rnacentral:rRNA from 1 species
UGGGGAAUAUUGGACAAUGGGCGAAAGCCUGAUCCAGCCAUGCCGCGUGUGCGAAGAAGGUCUUCGGAUUGUAAAGCACUUUAAGUUGGGAGGAAGGGCAGUAAGCGAAUACCUUGCUGUUUUGACGUUACCGACAGAAUAAGCACCGGCUAACUCUGUGCCAGCAGCCGCGGUAAUACAGAGGGUGCAAGCGUUAAUCGGAAUUACUGGGCGUAAAGCGCGCGUAGGUGGUUCGUUAAGUUGAAUGUGAAAGCCCCGGGCUCAACCUGGGAACUGCAUCCAAAACUGGCGAGCUAGAGUAGGGCAGAGGGUGGUGGAAUUUCCUGUGUAGCGGUGAAAUGCGUAGAUAUAGGAAGGAACACCAGUGGCGAAGGCGACCACCUGGGCUCAUACUGACACUGAGGUGCGAAAGCGUGGGGAGCAAACAGG